CAGUCUCUUUCUCCCCCACAACACACACGGGACGACUCCCUGGACAGCCUGGAUUCUUUUGGCUCGCGCUCCCAGGCUAGCCCCUCCCCCGACGUCAUCAUCCAUGGCAACAGUGAUGGUGACUCAGAAG